UUAUUAUUAUUAUUAUUAUUAUUAUUAUUAUUAUUAUACGAAGAAAAUAUGAAAGUGGGGUUUCUAAAAGGAGAUCGAAGAAAGAGAAAGAGAGGGAACAUAUACUAUUUUAAAUGAAGACCCUGCUCUAUGGCUGUUAUAAUAAAAGGAGAAUUAUCGUAUGAAAUUAUUAAGCAAGGGUAUGCUUAAAUAUUUCAUACCUUAAAAAAUCAAAUUUUAAUCUUCAAAACGAGUAUUCAAAAACCAGUAUAGAUAUAAUUCGCCUAAAUAUUUUCAAAAAGAGUUGAAAAAUGGUGAAAGUGUGAUCAAAAAUGGUUAAUGUUUUCUGAGUUCAGUGGAUGUGUAUUUUGUUAUGUUUGCAAUAUUUUUUUAUCCGAUUAAAACAACGUAUUUGUGAAAAGUGGUUUUCGAUUGGAAAAAAGCUAAAAACUAUUUUAACCAGGAAAUAUUGAUUGUAUGAUUAAGUGGAUAAAAAUCAUAAAACAAAAUGGUCUUAUCGAUGAAAUGCAUUGGAAAGCAGAUUAAAGAUAAGAUUAAUUAUUGAGUUGUGUUUUUAAAAGGAUUUGUAGCGGUUGUUCAUUUUUUAACCGAAAGAGGUUUAGCAUUUCGAGGGCAUUGAAGUUAUAUGGAUCAUCAAAUAACAGAAAUUGCUUAGACGUGCUAAAACUGUUAACUCAAUUUGAUCCAUUUUUAAAGUAACACGUUAGGAUUUUUACAAAUAAAAGCAAAGGGUGUAUCUUAUUUGUCUAAAACUAUUUGUAAAGAUCUUAUCGGUACUAUGUCUCAAAAAUUUUUAACGCAUAGUAAGUGAAAUAAAAAAAAAACAAAUUAUUGAGAAACCAUUGUAGAUUCUAUUCCUGGUAUUUCUCACGUGAAUCAACUUUCUGUGAUAUUUCGUUAUUAUAUAAAUGGCCACGUGUAUGAACAAUUUUUGAGUUUUUUUCAGAUUAAAAACCACCCAGGUAAA